rnacentral:rRNA from 1 species
AGUGAACGCUGGCGGUAGGCCUAACACAUGCAAGUCGAACGGCAGCACAGUAAGAGCUUGCUCUUACGGGUGGCGAGUGGCGGACGGGUGAGGAAUACAUCGGAAUCUACUUUUUCGUGGGGGAUAACGUAGGGAAACUUACGCUAAUACCGCAUACGACCUACGGGUGAAAGCAGGGGAUCUUCGGACCUUGCGCGAUUGAAUGAGCCGAUGUCGGAUUAGCUAGUUGGCGGGGUAAAGGCCCACCAAGGCGACGAUCCGUAGCUGGUCUGAGAGGAUGAUCGGCCACACUGGAACUGAGACACGGUCAAGACUCCUACGGGAGGCAGCAGUGGGGAAUAUUGGACAAUGGGCGAAAGCCUGCUCCAGCCAUACCGCGUGGGUGAAGAAGGCCUUCGGGUUGUAAAGCCCUUUUGUUGGGAAAGAAAAGCAGCAGGUUAAUACCCCGAUGUUCUGACGGUACCCAAAGAAUAAGCACCGGCUAACUUCGUG